rnacentral:lncRNA from 1 species
CAUGCUUGAUAGCUUGGAAGCCAUGUUUAAUUUGUGAGAGGGACCAUGUCAGAGGAUGAGGUUAAUUUCUACACAUAUUGCACUGUAAUACAUCACAAAUAGGCUGCAGUGUAACAGUGCUGGCUCGUGACACUGCUUGAAACAGUCUGACAGCCUAAGUGGCUGAAUUUUACAUCCAUUGAAAUGACAUUACUUAAAAAGUUGUAUCAGAGGACUGAGAAGCUGCAGAAAGGUGUUUAAUGUUCAUGUGGCCAGAGUUGUCUGAAAGGCAGUGGUGCCCACACUGCCUCUUGAGGAAAGGAUUUCUGUGCAUGGGGUAUUUUAGAGAGGGCCUGGGGUGCUGCUGAGCACUGAGCAGCAGCACAGAGGCCUUCAGUGCCCUGCCACAGUCACUGCAUAAUGAUGUGAAGGAAGUGUCAAUUAAACCUUACCUCCAAAUGAUGUGAAAUAAGUGGCAAGUUAAACCUUGCCCCCAGAUUAAAUCAGGCUCCAUAGAAGCCCAACAUACUUUUUUAAUUUUUCCAGUGGUUUAAUUUCCUUUUUAUUUCCGUAGCAAUGGAUUCUUGAGAAUCCAGACAUGCCAGAGUGCUGGCAGUUUACCUAGCCUUUAACCAAAUCUUUAUUCUCACAGUACUGAGUGAGCAGAGAACACAAACAUUGAGUAAACAAGGUGUAACAGCUCUAUAAAUGUUGUAAACAAAUAUUUAAAGGGUGGGUUUUAAUCUAUAGAUUACUUAUUACUUAUUUUAUUUUUUGUUAUACACUUACUAUAUCUUUAAAGAGCUAAAAUCUUACUUUCAUUAAAUAGUUGCCAUUUUCAUUUUUCUUCAGGAAACUGACAGAGUAGGUGCUGGUUGUAGCCUGGCUCCCAGAUAUCACCUGGAGAUUCCUGUCACAGGUUGCUCAAGUCUUCUCUGCUCUGUGUGAAGCUGGGUGUUAGUGAUGCUUUCAGCCAAAGGUCUGCAGGGGUCAGGAUGGAGACGUCUCCUGCAGGGGAGGAGAUUCUGAGGAAGACGGACAGGAAAAAAAAUACUUUGUGGAGAAAAAAUACAUUUUCGAAUUGGAAAAGUUUUUUAGGAGGACUGUGCUAGAUGGACAAAACUGUGUAUGCAAGAGAGAUGAUAGC